rnacentral:lncRNA from 1 species
UGCCCACACGGUGAGGCCCGCACAGCCUCCUGCCCGCGUGCCCUCGCCCGCAGCCUCUGCCGCCCUAGACCCACCCACCUUGGCUCCUCCCCGGGCUCAGCUUGGGGUGGGCGCCAGUUCCGAGCAUGGCUGUCUCACAGGUGAACGCCACCGCCUGUGCUGUCCCCCGCCUUCUCAUCGCGCUCCUGGAGAGUAACCAGCAGAAGGACGGCUCAGUGCUCGUGCCCCCUGCCCUCCAGUCCUACCUCGGCACUGAUCGGAUCACAGCCCCUACCCACGUGCCUCUCCAGUACAUCGGCCCCAACCAGCCCCGGAAGCCUGGGCUGCCUGGCCAGCCUGCUGUAAGCUAAGAACCCACCCACAGCAGCCCUCGGGGGUGUCACUGCUUCCUGGAGUUCAGGAGACCCCGGACACCUGGGACCUGUGUUGCUGAGCCCGUCCUGACAUCUGUGUUCUUCCUGUCAGCUCCACGCCCGGGCCCCUGGACCACGGGGUCCACCUCUCCUCUGUCCUUGCUGCCUCAGAGUCAGUCACUGACCCUGUUAUCAUUGAGGGUCCCAGUGGGAAGCAGGACGUCUGGGCUUUACGGUUCUAGGGACAGGAGAAGCAGAGGAAGAGGCUUCCAUCCCUCCUUCCUUCUUUCCUCCUACAGUGCUGAGCAAAAAGUCCCCAAUAAAUGGUCAGGACAAA